rnacentral:rRNA from 1 species
CUAAUAUUAGGAGCUAAUGAGGUACCAUGAAGAAUAAGCACCGGCUAACUACGUGCCAGCAGCCGCGGUAAUACGUAGGGUGCAAGCGUUAAUCGGAAUUACUGGGCGUAAAGCGUGCGCAGGCGGCUUUGCAAGACAGAUGUGAAAUCCCCGGGCUCAACCUGGGAACUGCAUUUGUGACUGCAUGGCUAGAGUACGGUAGAGGGGGAUGGAAUUCCGCGUGUAGCAGUGAAAUGCGUAGACUCUUCUUUAGUGGCACCGAUGGCGAAGGCAAUCCCCUGGACCUGUACUGACGCUCAUGCACGAAAGCGUGGGGAGGGAACUGUUCUUAGACUUCCUGGUAGUCCACGCCCUAAAGCAGCUCAACUGGUUCUUGGACGUCUUGCUGUUCACUAACGAAGCUAACGCGUGAAGUUGACCGCCCGGGGAGAAAUGCCGAAAGGUUGAAACUCAAAGGAAUUGACGGGGACCCGCACAAGCGGUGGAUGAUGUGGUUUAAUUCGAUGCAACGCGAAAAACCUUACCUACCCUUGACAUGUCUAGAAGUUACCAGAGAUGGUUUCGUGCUCGAAAGAGAACUAGAACACACGUGCUGCAUGGCCGUCGUCAGCUCCUGUCGUGAGAUGUUGGGUUAAUCCCGCAACCAAGCGCAACCCUUAUCAUUAGUUGCUACGCAAGGGGACUCUAAUGAAACUGGCGGUGGACCAACCCGGAGGAAGGUGGGGGAUGACGUCAG